rnacentral:rRNA from 1 species
UACGAAGGGGGGCUAGCGUUACUCGGAUUGACUGGGCGUAAAGGGCGCGUAGGCGGUUUGUACAGUCAGACGUGAAAUUCCUGGGCUCAACCUGGGGGCUGCGUUUGAUACGUGCGGACUUGAGUUCGGAAGAGGGUCGUGGAAUUCCCAGUGUAGAGGUGAAAUUCGUAGAUAUUGGGAAGAACACCGGUGGCGAAGGCGGCGACCUGGUCCGAUACUGACGCUGAGGCGCGAAAGCGUGGGGAGCAAACAGG